GGCCUACCAAGGCGAUGACGGGUAGGGGACCUGAGAGGGUGGCCCCCCACAAUGGAACUGAAACACGGUCCAUACACCUACGGGUGGCAGCAGUAGGGAAUAUUGGUAAUGGGCGAAAGCCUGAACCAGCAACGCCGCGUGCGCGAUGAAGGCCUUCGGGUCGUAAAGCGCUUUUUGAAGGGAUGAGGAAGGACAGUACCUUCAGAAUAAGCCUCGGCUAACUACGUGCCAGCAGCCGCGGUAAAACGUAGGAGGCGAGCGUUAUCCGGAUUUACUGGGCGUAAAGCGCGUGCAGGCGGUUUGGUAAGUUGGAUGUGAAAGCUCCCGGCUCAACUGGGAGAGGUCGUUCAAAACUAYCAGACUAGAGAGUGGUAGAGGGAGGUGGAAUUCCGGGUGUAGUGGUGAAAUGCGUAGAUAUCCGGAGGAACACCAGUGGCGAAAGCGGCCUCCUGGSCCAUUUCUGACGCUCAGACGCGAAAGCUAGGGUAGCAAACGGGAUUAGAGACCCCGGUAGUCCUAGCCGUAAACGAUGUGAACUUGGCGUCGGUGGGGUHAAAUCCAUCGGUGCCGAAGCUAACGCGAUAAGUUCACCGCCUGGGGACUACGGCC
rnacentral:rRNA from 1 species